GGAGAACGAUAGCAUAUCUAACUGAAUUACUAGUGCUUGCAUCUUGUAGGUGUGUUGUUGCUACUGUGCCCUUGCUGCAGGGUGGCUGAGGAAACUUAGUAAUGCGAUAGGUGGGCUAGGCUGCAAAGUGAAACUAUAAGAUCCUCAGACGUACCAGGGAAGGAAAUCAUUCACUUAGACUAGAGGGCUUUCCUUCAUUAAGCAUUGAGUUGUAGAUAAUAGUCAGCAAUGAUAACGAAGGUUACCAGUGAUUGCGAAAAGAGUGUUUUAGUAAGCAGCUAUUAAAAUAUAAAGAUCAAAACAGACUUUAAAUUUAACUACCGGAAGAAGGAUUUUACGUGCGUAAAAGUGAUUCUCCAAGGGUAGUCAUGACUACGCAACGUGUAUUAUCUAAAGGAAAAACGGUCCCGUAGUCAUAGCAACAGCCGCCCAACCACCCCGGUAAUCGGCUCAGCACACAGCUCCCAUCUCAGGGAAUCUCCAGCAUACUAACACGGUGGCUUCGAUGUCGCAUCGUACGAUUUUACGUUUCCUUUUUAUUUUAUUUUUUAGAAAAGUAUCUAAAGCAAAAGCGGAGAGAAAAAGGGAGAAAAUGGCACAUCGUACGGAGAAGGUAAUGAAAGAGGAACGAUAACGUUUGAAAAUUCAAUUUUGUAUAUUUCUUGCUGUAAAUAAUUUAAAGUUUUUAUAUUUGGAUUGUACACAAGUGAUUAAACCUUAUUACUUUUUA